rnacentral:lncRNA from 1 species
GUUGCCACCAAAACACCAACCAUGGUACACACAUUGUAACCUCCCCCAUUGAUCAAUUCUUCCCUCAGAUAAAGGAGCUAAUCUAUGAGGACAAGUAUCAUCGAACACUUUCCAUUCAUUCUCGUUCUUAUCCCACCAAACCACUAGAUCAAGUCCUAAUACUUUCUUACCAUGUGGCACCCUCUUAUCCAAAUCACUUACAGGCAUCACCGGAUACCACUGUGAGUACCAAUCGAAUCUCUCUUUACCGACCUCAGCCUCAACUUCCGGCAUAGGUGGCUCAAUAGACUCCGUUGUUGAUAUUGGGGACGAUGAUAAGGUCGUAAACAACCUGGAUUUCGAUCCAUUUCUUGUAAAACAUGGUAAUUGUAAGUUCAAAUUGUGAAAGAUGGGUUUAGAAAACUGGGUUUUGUUUCUUGUUGUUGUUGGAAUGUAUGGUGAAUAAACUAUGGUAGGAGAAGCUUUGAGAACAUCCAGGGAGGAUUAUAUAUGUUGGUUUAUUUUUCUUUUGUAUUUUAACGAUUAUGGCGUUCUUAAAAAGCUUAAAAGCAAAGAGAAAACGAAGAAGAGUGAAAGAACUUGAGGCUGAAAGAGGAUGAGCGUGUGAGUAAAUGAAACGCGUGAUGGAGGUAGACUGUGUGAGUAAAGAACUUGAGGCUGUGAGGAAAUGAAACUGAGUGAUGUGAUGUGAUCUUAGUGAGGCUAAAAAUGAAUUACAAAACAGUGCUUAUUGAAAAGUCGAGGAAAUAAAACAACAAAUAGUAAUCAAUGAACACUCCCAAAGCAAAGACUUUGAAAUGUUUGCAUUUUGCAAAAGUCAACAUGACUUUGUAGGAUUACAAUGGUAGGAUUACAAUUGACUAGAUUUCUCCGUCUCGAAAGUGAGCUAAAAAAUGAGAAAGUUUGGGUAAAAAUAUAUAUUAAAAAGUAAAUUUAGGCAAAAAAUAAGGUUCAUUUUUUAAACAGAUCGUAUCUCGGAUAAGUUUUUUUGACCUAAGCCCGGCCUGGCUCAGAUACCCUUAACAAAGUAUCGAUACCCUUCCCAAAAGUAUCGACACCCUGCUUGAGAAUCAAUACCUUAGGGAAGGUAUCGAUAUCUCAUAAUAAGUAUCGAUACAUUUCCUAUUGUAUCAAUAUUAUAGGCUUUAAUAUGGGCCGAAAAGGAUCGGACCCAAGUUUAGCAUCUAUAAUCUAGGUUGAGUUUGGGCAAAAAUUUAAGCCUAUUUUUUGAAUCGAGCCCGGGCUUAUUAAUUGGACCUAAAAUUUUAUUAGGGCUUAACCCGAACCAGCCCAUGAACAACUCUACGAGGGAGGAACCAAUAAAAUAAAUGUGUUGAAAUUAGGCUCAAUUUAUACUACUUUAAAUAAUAGCUUUUUUAAAUUCGGAAUAAUCUUGAUCGCCAAAAUUAACAUGUGAAAAUUAAAAUUAACUUUUAGAAAGAAAAAAAAAGUUAAAUAUUCAAUUUGUAUUAAAUAUUUUAAUUAUUUAAGCAUUAAAUAUUUUACCAAAUUAAUAUUUAAAUCCUACUUUGUAUUAGUUUAUCAAAUUAAACUAAAAAUAUUAUUAAAUUUAUCAUAAAAAUUUAUAAUUUUAUAAAAAAAUCAAGUUAAAAGAAACUCUGGAAAACUUUGGGGGUGGAACACAAAUUUACCCUAUUUUUAAGCAUUAAUUAUAAGGUUAAUAAAAAAAAUUAAAACUUAAAUGGGUUGAAUUGAAAUUUUAUAAAAUUUAGGGGCAUCCUGUAAUGCCCCUUACCCGUAUUCAACGCCGAAACAGGGUUCGAGGCAUUACCGGACUUAAACACAAGAAAUCAUACGAUUCCGAGCCAUGAGAAUUAAUCUACAUUAAAACCAUUCAAAAACAAUAUGCUCAACAUUCAAUAACAUAAUUCAACUUGCAUGCAUGAUACAAGACUUUAUCACUUCACUUACUCCUUUGCAACUUUACCACAUUUCAAUCACAUACCGAACACAUUACUCAUGAGUAUACACAUAUAUAUAUAUAUGCACUUAUCACCACAUAGUCACACAUAAUUUCACUUAGUCGAUUUUCCCGAUGAACACUUCGGAAUAAUAACAGAUACACGGUGGUUCCGCACAUAGCACCACCCUUAUGAUCAAUGCUAUCCGGUAUACAUAGUAGCCUACACUUAGUACUACACAUAUGACCAAUACCAUCCGAUACACGUAGUAGCCUGCACAUAGUACUACACACGUGACCGAAGCUAUCCAGUACACAUAGUAGCCUGCACUUAAUAUUACAUAUGUGACCAUAACUAUCUUAUACUCAUAGUAGCCUACACAUAGUACUACACAUGAUUUCUCAUGAUGUCUUUCGUAUCCUUUUCUAUUCUGAAAGUUCAACCGGGAAAUUUGUCACUUAUUCUCACUUUGUCAAUUUCAACCAUAGUCAAUCUCAAUUCAUAAUUUACAUCAAAUAAUCAUUCAAUAUACAACCACAUCUCAUGUAAUAUAACAAAAUAUUAUAACAUAAGUAAAAACGAUAUAUUAUUUACAUACAAACUAGAGGUGAUCAUGGGUUGGGCUACCCAGCCCGGCCCGACGACCCGCCCGAAAAAUGGGAGGGUUUGGGUAAAAAUAUAGACCCGAAAUAUAGGUUUGGGCAAAAAAACGAGGCCCCUUGGGUAAAAUUAUUUUGGUCCAAGCCCGGCCUGAAUUAUAUAUUAAAUAUUUAUUUUUUAUUUUUAAUCAAUUAUAUAUAUUUUAUAUAUAUUUAAUAUGGGUCGGGCCGGGCCAGGCUCAGCAAUUUUUUUCGGGCCGGGCUUGGACAAAUUUUUAGGCCCAUAUUUCGGGCCAAGCAGGGCCCGAGCCUAGAAAAUGGGCCUAAAUUUUUAUCUGGGCCAGGCCCAAACUCAGCCCAGUCCGCCCCAUGAUCACCUCUAAUACAAACUUACCUCGACACCAAAAGGGCAAAAAGGGACAUAACCGUCAAUUCUCGUUUUUCCCCCGUUCUAGGUCCGAACCUCAUUUUCUUUGAUCUAUAAUAUCAUAUUUAGCCUAAUUAUUAGUCACAUUAUUCAAAUCAGUCCACAAUUCAUAUGUUGGUAAAAUUAUUGUUUUGCCCCUAAACUUUCACAUAUUUACAAAUUAGUCCCUAGGCUCGUAAAACGAAAUUUAUGGAAUUUCAUCCAUAUCAAAGACUAACCGAAUUAUUUAGGUGCUCAUAGCAGCCCAUAUAAUCCCCAAUUUCACUCAUAUAACUCAAAAUCUUCAUACUUUACAAAUUAACCCCUAAUAGCAUUUUACAACAAAAAUCACUUAACAAGAAAUGUUCAACACACAACAAGGUUUCAUUUUACUCCAUUAAACUUCACAAUCAACUAUCAUGCUUUCAUUUCCCAAAACCCUAGCCUUUCAAUCAUCUUGCAAAUUAGUCCCCUAUUUAGCUAGCUUAAGCUUCAAUGGUUCCAAAAACAUAUAAAUCAACAAAAACAAACAUAAAUUUCACUUACAUGCAAGGGUUUAAAUUUGCUAAAAAUUUGAGUUCUCCAAUGGCUAUUCUCUUGGUAAAAAACGGUGGAAGAAGAUGAGCAAAUGAAUAAAAAUAAUAUUUUUAUUUCUUUUUGUUUAUUUUAUCAUAUUUCGUUAUGUAUAGAUGAUGAGAUUCCAUUGAUACAGAGCCAAUUCCAAUAGACUUAUUGGAGGGUCCCAUUGGCGUGCAUCCAGUAGGAAUUGAACCUACGAAUUCGCCAAUUAUGAGUUGGGCGCUUUAACCAUUCAGCCAUGGAUGCUUAGCGAGGAUCCUCGUACAUGGUGAAUAACCAAAUUCCAAUUGGAUUGAAAUCUUUAGGAUAAAUCAAUGCAAUUUUGGAGGAAUCAAUGAAAGGACAUCAAUUCAAAUCCUGGAUUUUCGAAUUGAGAGAGAUCAAGAAUUCUCACUAUUUCUUAGAUUCAUGGACUCAAUUCAAUUCAAUGGGAUCUUUCAUUCACAUUUUUUUCCACCAAAAAUGUUUUAUAAAACUCUUAGACCCCCGAAUUUGGAGUAUCCUACUUUCACGCAAUUCACACCAACCUAACCCAUCCAACAUCAUAAUUACACUCCAUGUGCAUCCACUUUCUCUUUUAAUGAUCUAAUUACUCAAUAAGGACCUCAAAUUUUAAGUUCUAUAGCUAAUUAACACAUUUAGCUAAUAGAACAUAACUUUAGCACUUUACGCGAUUUAGUCCUUUUGACUAAAUUGAGUGCCCAAAAGUCGAAAUUUUCAAACGAUAUUUCACGAAAUUAUUCCGUAAAAUUGUAGACUAUAAAAAUAUAGUAAAAUAAAUUUUCUUACGUCGGAUUUAGGGUCCCAAAAUUACUAUUCCGACUAGGCCCAAAAUCGGGUUGUUACACAUCCCUAGUGGUAAGGUGAAAAGUCAUCGUGUGGAUAAAAAGAUAGAGAGAGUGGUUAAAAGAAAGAGAAAGAAAGUAGGAAAAAUGUUCUCUUGUAUUGUUUUUAUAGUCUCUUCCGUGCAAUGAUAAGUCGUAUAUAUGACAUCUCACAAUGUUCUCUUGUAUUGUUUUUAUAGUCUCUUCAGUACAAUGAUAAAUCAUAUAUAUGACAUCUCACAUGUCAUGACAUCACUAGCAAAAAGGUCACGUCUUGUCUUCUCACAGGUGCGGGAAUGCGAAUUCAAAGGUGGGUAAUGCAACGCCUUAAUAUGGUUAAACAAUUAACGGGUGUAAGGUUACAUAUACUCUUAACGAAGUUAGUCUAUAAUGAAGGUUCGUUCACCUUACCAUAGAGCCACUUGAUGUUAUGAGUUCAAUCAAUAGAAUUAGAUUUUUUAAAACCUUGUUCAUGGCAUGUAAUCUAGAACAUUUAAAUGUAGAGUUGAAAACACAUAAAAUAUGUAUAUUUAAUUUCUAAUCAUUGUUGGUAUAGAAAAAAAAAAAAGAUGUUCAACUAGCUUUUAACCUUACAUACAAAGUAAAGGGUGUCAUAUUCACAUAAACUUACACAAAAGCAUGGUUAUAGUCAUGGUAAUGAAAAUUCUUGUAAAUGAAAUGAGCCAACCAUUUUGAAGCUGCAAAACAAACGAUAGCCAUUGAUACCAUUGUUGUUUUAACCACCAUUGAUAUCAUGUUUUGCUUUGUUACAGCAACGAUGCCAAUCAAACCAACAGACGUGAUUUGUAGUAUUACUUCGAGUGCCUUGAGACCUUUAUGUGCAGUAUUACAACUCUUACAAUUCACCACAUGACUCCAAUACCUGCAAAACAAGAACAAAGGUUAUAAGGUAUGUUACCCGGGUUCAGAGCGUUGGAUUCACGUACAUAUUCGAUACAGGUAUGUUCAUAUGUUAGGAUACAAGCUCCCAUAUUUCGAGAAAAGUGAAGAGUCAGAGCAAUAUAAGGACAAAGUUACUAAAUUUACCUGUCCAUUAGUUGUUCUCUAGGAGGGGACGGAGGAAGAGCUCCACUAUACUUCCCUUUCCAAUCAAUCUCACCGCCGGCAUACUUGUUGAACCACCUUCGGAAACCGACUACUAAGGCAUCCGACUUUGUAGGCACGAAACAAGCUUUUUGCCAACUGGUAGCCCCGAUUUCCAUUAUUUUACGCUCCUACAUGGAGAAAUAAGGUGUAAAACAAAACGAAGUUUACUAGGCAAGAAUAUUUGCAUAUAGCUAUGUGUUAAACAUGAGUUCUUCAUAUAUUUAGAGGGUCCUUAAAAGUUGAUUGUCCAAAUAAGCAUGGAAUAUGAUUGUCAGAUACUGAGUACUCAUAAAAAAAGUGAAUGUACCUAAGAGGCCUCUCUGUUAUAGGGAUUUGAUCAAAUUAGUCCUUCAACUAUUAAAUAGAUCAAUUUAGUCCCUUUACUAUUAAAAAGAAUCAAAUAAGACCAAAUUAGAAUAGAGUUAAAAUUUACUAUUUUAAAAAGUUAAUAUUUUUAAAGUUUUUACGAUUUUGUAAAUAAAAUCUUUUGUUUAGAUUUGAGUUGCAAUUGAAAAAUAAUAAUUUUCAAUACAUUUUUUAGAUAGUGAAUGUUAACUCUAUUACAAUUUGGACUUAUUUGAUUCUUUUUAAUACUAUAAGGACUAAAUUAAUCCAUUUAAUAAUAGAGGGGACUAAUUUGAUCCAGUACCUAUACAGGUACUUUAACCCAUAAACAAAUGAAAAGUCGAAGCCAUAUAGAUUUUUUGAAUGAAACUCAUCAAAGAGCCAGAGAUAUAGGAAUCACCUCAACAUGAAGAAGAUACAAAUCGGAAUCAAGAAUCAAGUUUUGUCCAAUGUGAAAUAUCCAUCUUGGAACAAUUUUGUCAAUCCAAACACCGAAGUUUCUCGGGAAAGUCCAAAUCAAUCUACUAUUACCUGGACUAACCGGAACACACAUAAAAAUCAAAGAAAGUCUUCGAUUCGGUGGCGGUGCCUGCAAAAAAAUACUUCUUUAUUGGUAAACAACACUCGGAAAACAAAUAAUAUACUGGACCUGACAGUCCACCGGUUCAACCAGUUCAACCUGCAGAUAAAUAGCAAUAUAUAGUGAAGUGAAUGUAGAACCUUUACAAUUUCGGAAGAUGUUGCAGAUCCAUUUUCUUGAUCAACUUCGACAUCGGCAAAAGCAUGAAAGAUGCAAGGUGCAAUAAAGUUAGAACUACCCCAAUCUUGCUUUCCAAGAAAACCAUUUAUGUCCAACUUCUUAACUUUCAUAUCAAGUGGUCUACCCCCUUCUCUAUCAACCUUCACUGUGAACCAAAAUGUACAAUUUUAGAUGCAAUAAUUCGAUAUCGCGAAAAUACAUACAUCAAGAACUUCUUACCGGUUGGGGUCCGAGUGCGCAUUAGACCAUAAUGUGCAUAUGGAACAUGAGCAGGAUCCAUAAGAUUUUCAACCAGUACCUCGUACCUGAAAAUGCAAACUUAGUUUCUUCAACAAAUUUCAGCAACUAUUGACGAUAUACGUCCACUACAUUACUCUCUUCAUUUUUCUUAGAGUACUCGCAUAAUUUGCAUACCCAUAAGGGAUAUCUCUGUUUCCCAUCAACUUUGAAAAUGAAGGAUCAUCUAAUACAGGAAUGUAAGGAGGCUUUUUCUUUGUUAUAAUAUCUUUGUAUUGAGGAUCAGCAUUUGGCCAAACCCAUACAAUAUCAUGUUGCACAACACUUGGAUAAACAGCCACACAUGCUUUCUUGAAUGUAUGGACCUGCAAAUUUGAAAACCAAAGUUAAAAUAAGAGAACCCUUUUUGCCAAUAAUGCCACACAUUACAUGAAAUUGCUGAUUACUGUUGAGGGGAGGCCGGACUCUUUAUUAGGAGAAGUUUUCAAAGUAUCAUGAGCAGACGAACCCCUCAAUGGUUGAGGUAUUGUGCUCAAGGUGUCUAUGCUCGGUUUGUCUCUUUGUCUCUCGGGGAGGCCUGACGGGUCCAUAAAGUGAGAACACCUUGCCCACCAAGGAAAUAUGAGCAUUUGGCCUUGGUGGGUUUGAAACCAUGCCCUUAUAUGGCAUUAGUAGGUAAGAAUAGUACCACUUGAGCUAGUGACCUCCCCUCAACAAUUAUAAUAUCAACACUUUAAAAGAGGAUCAGUACGUAUAUACACUAUACUAAUUGAAGUUGGGAGAUCAGUGAAGAAUACUAUAUGUCCACACAUUCAUUUUUCUUAAAAUAGUCGUGUCUGACAUUCAAUCCAACACACAAAUACGAAGAUAUGAUCCCGAGUCAUAUCUUAAAAUAUAUACAUGUAUUCAAUACUCAUACCCGAGUCAGAGUAAACACCCAUACCUAUGUCCUUACAUGUAUAGAUAUAUCAUACAAGUAGGAGAAUUAAACCCCAGAAAGUUCCAAAUAAUCCUAACAUUAGAACAGCAAAAACAGAACAUAAUUAAACAUGAUGAUAUGAACUAAAAGAAAAGGGUUACCGGGGGUCCAUCUACGGGAGCUUGGGGAAUGAUUUUGCAGUCACCAUUGCCACCAAAACACCAACCAUGGUACACACAUUGUAACCUCCCCCAUUGAUCAAUUCUUCCCUCAGAUAGAGGAGCUAAUCUAUGAGGACAAGUAUCAUCGAACACUUUCCAUUCAUUCUCGUUCUUAUCCCACCACACCACUAGAUCAAGUCCUAAUACUUUCUUACCAUGUGGCACCCUCUUAUCCAAAUCACAUACAGGCAUCACCGGAUACCACUGUGAGUACCAAUCGAAUCUCUCUUUACCGACCUCAGCCUCAACUUCCGGCAUAGGUGGCUCAAUAGACUCCGUUGUUGAUAUUGGGGACGAUGAUAAGGUCGUAAACAACCUGGAUUUCGAUCCAUUUCUUGUAAAACAUGGUAAUUGUAAGUUCAAAUUGUGAAAGAUGGGUUUAGAAAACUGGGAUUUGUUUCUUGUUGUUGUUGGAAUGUAUGGUGAAUAAACAAUGGUAGGAGAAGCUUUGAGAACAUCCAUGGAGGAUUAUAUAUGUUGGUUUAUUUUUCUUUUGUAUUUUAACGAUUAUGGCGUUCUUAAAAAGCUUAAAAGCAAAGAGGAAAACGAAGAAGAGUGAAAGAACUUGAGGCUGAAAGAGGAUGAGCGUGUGAGUAAAUGAAACGCGUGAUGGAGGUAGACUGUGGAGAACCAAAAGCUGUGAACUUCGUGUGGCUCAAAACGAAUGACAAUAGGUGUUAUGAAUUUUGGUAAAAAUAUCAUCGAGGGACUUAUACUAAGUGUUAGAUUAUAUUUUGCUCCUUUAUCAGAGGAAAAGCCUAGAAAUUUUUUCGGAAGGUCGAAAUUAUAUUGUAUAUUUUUAAAUGAUUAAAUCAAAAUUUUAUCAUUUUGAGUGUCAAAGUACAAUUUUACCAUGUAUUAACAUAAAUUUUCAUAAAUUUUAAAGGGCCAAAAUGAGAUUUCCUAUUAUAAGGAACCAAGGCCCUUACCAUACCCUAGCACCGCCCCUACCCUUUACUCAAAAAAUAGAUAAAUUAACUUUUUACAUAUUAUGUCAAAGAGCAAAUUGGUCAUUUACGUACAAAUUUCACUGAUUUUUACACUAAGAAGUGGACAUGACCCCACUCCAUUCAAGUUUUUUAAGUCUUUUUCAAGUCAUAAAGUAUGACAAUGGCAUUUUAAAAGUAUUCUUACAUCUGUCAAUUGGAUCUUAGUUCGAUUGGCAUGAGUAUUAUUGUCAAUAGAGGAAAAUGUGGGUUCGAGUAUGCUGUGAACCGUAUUAUCUUCCUAUUUAUGGAUUGGGGAAGCACUAUGCCUAAUUCUAGACAUUCAUUUAAAAAGAACAAAUAUGAUCAAAACAUAUACUACUUUAAAAUAUUUUAUAACUAUAUAUAUGACUCUUCCAAAAGUUUUUAAUUUAAAACGUAGAAGUAUUCCUUUUUUAUAUAUAAAUUUUCAUGAAUUAAAACUUUGUAUUAUGUAAAUUUUUAUAUAUUUGUAUAUUAAUAUUAUAUUAAUACUUUUUUAAAUUAUAUUUUUUUUACCAAAAAAAUUUAACUAACCUUUUAUUUUAUAUUGAUUUUGAUGCUUAGUUCUAUCGUCAUUUCAGGCUUUGACAUCAUUGACACAUGGCGUUUAACUAGUCGAACCUUUGGUUGAAUAUUGUGAAAAGAUAUGUUUAUUUUCAGCCUAAAGGUUUUUGUUUGUUUCAUGGUGGUUAAGAACAGUUGGCCACCAUCCCCCAUGUCACCCCUAGUCUAGUCUCGAUGCUAGACUCAAGCCAUUUUUUCAAUAGAAAUGGGAUUAGCCUUUAGAAGAAUACUUUUUCUCUAGUCCAAGGGUUCAGUCAUGCUUUGGCGUUUGUGGUGGCUUUUGUGACACUCGAGUCCUGUGGUGACUCAUUUUCUCUAAGUACUUAGUGGCUUUGGUCUAUUGAGUUUUUGCAGGGACUCGUUUUUGUCUGGGGUUCUAUUGCAUCUAUUAUUUCUAGUCGGAAAUGUUUCCACUGUCACAGGAGGAAAGAAUUGUAUAGAGACUCACCCACCGCAUUAAAGUUAUGUUUAUCUUGAAGGCUAAUAGUAUCAUUGAACUGAAAAAGUCGUGAGAACGAACCAAUGUCUCUCUUUGUUCUCAAUUUAGGUAAAGAGGCUUGAUUCAAGCAAUGAAAACUUAUUUUCUCCAACAUAAAGUUCAAAUUUUUCUUGUCUUUCAAGGCUUUAUCUAGUUUGGGACCAAGAUCCUCGAUCACUUUCUUCAUUCGGUAUAAUUAGAUCUAUAACACUAUUAACUUUUGUCUAAUUUUAUCCUCAGUUUGCAUAUAAUCUUUUAUAUAAUAAAAAAUGAAUUAAAACAUAAAAAUAAAUAGAUGAAAUUCCAUACUUUUAUUGAAAUUUAAAUUAUAUUUCCUUUUUCAAAAAAAAACUUACAAUUGUGAUGUCAACUUAAAAUACAACAUGAACAAAUCAAAAAAUUGUAUGCAUGAUCGAAAAGAAUGAUAAAGAAUUCAUAUAUCAUCUUCUCUAUUCACAUCAAAAGAAUCAACUACUUGUAAAAUGUACUUAAUAUCAACUCUAAAUUCUCAUUACCCUUUCAUUUUUUCCCCUCCAUGUAUCAAUUUUAGUAUCAGAGCACGUCUCGAAAAUUAAACUCCGACACCCUUUACAGAGAGGAAGCUUUUCUGCAAUAAGUUCUUUUUCUUGAGAAGAGGUAAACUUUGUGUUCUCAUCUCUUCUCUCAUAGUCGUUACCGGUUCAGACAAUUUUGGAUUCAAGCCGCUAGUAAACUGAGGAGAAAAGUAAAAUUUCGUAUAGCCAUCACUUUUCGGAGAUAAAUUCACUUGUUCCAACGCUCGAAAUUGAAGUUCCGAAGGGAAAUCUCGAACGCAACCGAUCCGAGGUCCUGCCCCUGUAGUCCAUUUACAUGACAAUUGCUUGCCCAAUUGAAAUGAUUUCAUCCCUUUCUUAGAGUUAAUCCUUUGAAGAAUCGAUUCUUUAGCUAUGGAUUCAACAUUAUGAUCAUUUUCAUUCAUCGUCUCAUCUUGAACCGUCGAAUUUGAACCCUGGUUGUAAGCAACAGCAACCUCAAACAAUUCGGUUUUCAUCGGUAUUUCAAGAUGACUCAAGUUGAGGAACCUGCUUGACAUUGUGCAUUCAAGGCCUUCACUGCUUCCUUCUUCGGUCAAAUCACCGAGCUUCUCGAUCGAACCUUUGACACUGUUUUCUUCAAGCUCUAAGCUAUUUUCUUC